rnacentral:rRNA from 1 species
UACGGGGGGAGCAAGCGUUGUUCGGAUUUACUGGGCGUAAAGGGCGCGUAGGCGGUCAGUGCAAGUCAGUUGUGAAAUCUCCGGGCUUAACUCGGAAAGGUCAACUGAUACUGCUCGACUAGAGUGCGGAAGGGGCAACUGGAAUUCUUGGUGUAGCGGUGAAAUGCGUAGAUAUCAAGAGGAACACCUGCGGCGAAGGCGGGUUGCUGGGCCGACACUGACGCUGAUGCGCGAAAGCCAGGGGAGCGAACAGG